AAUAAAAUAAUUAUUUGUAAUAGGAACCUGAUGAGCUCGAAUAUCAGAAUGUGCUAUUAUUACUUGUAGACAUUAACUCUAUUUUUGUCUAAUAAAUAAGGGAGUGGAUUUAUUCUCUUAACAGAGAGAGCUGGAUGGCUGGAUGAAAUUUCAAAUUUCCAUUUGCAAAUCAGCAGUUUCUAAGCAUAGAGAAAAACGUAAAAUACAACAGUUGAAAAGGAUACAAAGAAACAUAGAAUAUACAAUGUUGGUGGAAGAGAAGAUUGGCACAACCACUCUGGAGAAGGUAUA
rnacentral:lncRNA from 1 species